UAGGGAAUCUUCCGCAAUGGACGAAAGUCUGACGGAGCAACGCCGCGUGAGUGAUGAAGGUUUUCGGAUCGUAAAGCUCUGUUGUUAGGGAAGAACAAGUGUCGUUCAAAUAGGGCGGCACCUUGACGGUACCUAACCAGAAAGCCACGGCUAACUACGUGCCAGCAGCCGCGGUAAUACGUAGGUGGCAAGCGUUGUCCGGAUUUAUUGGGCGUAAAGCGCGCGCAGGCGGUCUUUUAAGUCUGAUGUGAAAUCUCGUGGCUCAACCACGAACGGUCAUUGGAAACUGGGAGACUUGAGUACAGAAGAGGAGAGUGGAAUUCCACGUGUAGCGGUGAAAUGCGUAGAGAUGUGGAGGAACACCAGUGGCGAAGGCGACUCUCUGGUCUGUAACUGACGCUGAGGCGCGAAAGCGUGGGGAGCGAACAGG
rnacentral:rRNA from 1 species